GGGAGUAAAAGUCGUAACAAGGUUCCGUAGGUGAACCUGCGGAAGGAUCAUUAUUGUAUAACCGAGGUGCGAGGGCUGUCGCUGACCCGAAAGGUCGUGCACGCCCGAGUGCCCUCACACACAUCCAUCUCACCCCUAUGUGCACCACCGCGUGGGUCCCCCUUUGGCUUGUUCGGAGGGGGGCUUACGUUUUCACACAAACUUUGUAUGCAGUGUAGAAUGUAUUUUUUGUUUUUGCGAUCACGCAAUCAAUACAACUUUCAACAACGGAUCUCUUGGCUCUC
rnacentral:misc_RNA from 1 species